rnacentral:lncRNA from 1 species
GAAGCUAGUGGGCGCCAUUUUGAAGUUGGGCAGAAAGUGACUCCAGUGGUGGAACCCGGAGCCAACCAUUUUUAGUUACUCUUGCUCUGCUGCCCAGGCUGGAGUGCAGUGGUGUGAUCUCGGCUCACUACAACUUCCGUCUCCCGGGUUCAAGAGAUUCUCCUGCCUCAGCCUCCUGAGUAGCUGGGAUUACAGAUUGUCCUCUUCAUGGAAAAGUAGUACAGCAUUUCUUCAAUCAAUUAAAAAAACAGUUCAAAUGUCAGAUCUUGAAGUAAAUCCUUCAAAACUGCAAGAGUACACUCUUUGCAAAGAAAACCUUUCUUCGCCAGCGUCCCAUGCUCGGUGGCCCCAGAAAAGUCAGUGUGUAGGCCUCAGCCACUUCAGGUCCGGCGUACAUUCUCCCUGGACACCAUCCUCAGCUCCUACCUUCUGGGCCAGUGGCCACGAGAUGCUGAUGGGGCCUUCACCUGCUGCACCAAUGACAAGGCCACCCAGAUUUCCAAGUUGAAGCAACAACUGCAGAGGACG